rnacentral:rRNA from 1 species
GCAUCCAGUUGCCAUCGGGCGAGCCGGGCACUCUGGAGGGACUGCCGGCGACAAGCCGGAGGAAGGUGGGGAUGACGUCAAGUCAUCAUGGCCCUUAUGUCCAGGGCGACACACGUGCUACAAUGGCCGGCACAGCGGGAAGCGGAGGGGCGACCCUGAGCGGAUCCCUUGAAAGCCGGUCCCAGUUCGGAUUGCAGUCUGCAACUCGACUGCAUGAAGUUGGAAUCGCUAGUAAUCGCGGAUCAGCCAAGCCGCGGUGAAUACGUUCCCGGGCCUU